GAUGAACGCUAGCUACAGGCUUAACACAUGCAAGUCGCGGGGCAGCAUGGGGGUUGCUUGCAAUCCCUGAUGGCGACCGGCGCACGGGUGAGUAACGCGUAUCCAACCUGCCCUUCACCACGGGAUAACCCGGCGAAAGUCGGACUAAUACCGUAUGUUGUCCAUUGACGGCAUCCGAUUUGGACGAAAGGCUUAGCGGUGAGGGAUGGGGAUGCGUCCGAUUAGCUUGACGGCGGGGUAACGGCCCACCGUGGCUACGAUCGGUAGGGGUUCUGAGAGGAAGGUCCCCCACACUGGAACUGAGACAUGGUCCAGACUCCUACGGGAGGCAGCAGUGAGGAAUAUUGGUCAAUGGGCGUAAGCCUGAACCAGCCAAGUAGCGUGCAGGAUGACGGCCCUAUGGGUGGUAAACUGCUUUUAGGCGGGGAUAAAGGGACCCACGUGUGGGUUUUUGCAGGUACCGCAUGAAUAAGGACCGGCUAAUUCCGUG
rnacentral:rRNA from 1 species